UCGAGAAUUUUUCACAAUGGGCGAAAGCCUGAUGGAGCGACGCCGCGUGGGGGAUGAAUGGCUUCGGCCCGUAAACCCCUGUCAUUUGCGAUCAAACCCUGUAAUCUAAUAGGUUGCAGGCUGAUAGUAGCGAAAGAGGAAGGGACGGCUAACUCUGUGCCAGCAGCCGCGGUAAUACAGAGGUCCCAAGCGUUGUUCGGAUUCACUGGGCGUAAAGGGUGCGUAGGCGGUUGAAUAAGUCUGACGUGAAAUCCUGGAGCUCAACUCCGGAACGGCGUCGGAAACUGUUCAGCUUGAGGAUUGGAGAGGGGACUGGAAUUCUCGGUGUAGCAGUGAAAUGCGUAGAUAUCGAGAGGAACACCAGUGGCGAAGGCGAGUCCCUGGACAAUACCUGACGCUGAGGCACGAAAGCUAGGGGAGCAAACAGG
rnacentral:rRNA from 1 species